rnacentral:tRNA from 1 species
GAGGGUAUGGCUCAGUGGUAGAGCACACGCUUAGCAUGCAUAAAGCCCUGGGUUCAAUCCCCAGCACCUCCA